rnacentral:rRNA from 1 species
UACGUAGGGUGCGAGCGUUAAUCGGAAUUACUGGGCGUAAAGGGUCCGUAGGUGGCUCGCUAAGUCAGACGUGAAAUCCCUCGGCUUAACCGGGGAACUGCGUCUGAGACUGAUGAGCUUGAGUGCAGGAGAGGAACGCGGAAUUCCAGGUGUAGCGGUGAAAUGCGUAGAUAUCUGGAGGAACACCGGUGGCGAAGGCGGCGUUCUGGACUGCAACUGACACUGAAAGACGAAAGCCAGGGGAGCAAACGGG